UAACCUGCCCAAGAGAUCGGGAUAACACCUGGAAACAGAUGCUAAUACCGGAUAACAACAGAUGAUGCCUAUCAACUGUUUAAAAGAUGGUUCUGCUAUCACUCUUGGAUGGACCUGCGGUGCAUUAGCUAGUUGGUAGGGUAACGGCCUACCAAGGCGAUGAUGCAUAGCCGAGUUGAGAGACUGAUCGGCCACAGUUGGGACUGAGACACCGGACCCAAACUCCGUACGGGAGGCAGCAGCG
rnacentral:rRNA from 1 species